rnacentral:rRNA from 1 species
UACGUAGGUGGCGAGCGUUGUCCGGAUUUAUUGGGCGUAAAGCGCGCGCAGGCGGUCGCGUAAGUCUGCUGUGAAAUCUCCCUGGCUCAACCGGGAGGGGGCGGCGGAGACUGCGGGACUGGAGGGACCUAGAGGCCGGUGGAAUUCCCGGAUGUAGUGGUGAAAUGCGUAGAGAUCGGGAGGAACACCUGUGGCGGAAGGCG